CUCAUGUGGUUGCAUGAAAGAAGGUCUGUCUUUAUUCUUAGGAAAUGCAGGCUGAAGUAUUUAGGAGAGAAAAAAAGCAAUUGUGGCAAAAUGUUAACACUUACUCAACCUUGGAGUUAAGCACUUGGGGUGCUCACUGAACUGUUCUUUCAACUUUCCACGUGGGGAUGCCGAAGCCACACUGUUCACAGUCCCACAGCCAAGCGGCCAGAAUGGGGAACGGUUUUCAAAUGGCACUAUGCCAGGGGUGCCGGGAGGGUAGAGGAAAUAUUAUUUCUGGAUUAAUUCAACCACCUCCACCCAAAGACCGGUAUGACCAGAACCCAUACAGCAACACCCAGGUACCACGCCUAAAAGCCUCGCCACUUCUUCCAGGGAGCACUAGUUAGUGACAAGUCUGGGUAAGACAGACUUUCUCUGAAUUCUCCAGACCAAAAGACUUUCAAGAUAAGAUGCCCGAAAGCAAUCGACUUCACGGGACUCGUAUGCAUACACCAGACCAUUGUAACCCCGUGGUGUCCCCACCCUUCAUUCUCCAUCGAUUCUAGAAGGAGAACACACUUUUCUUCUGAGAUUAAAGAACUCCCCAAGGUUUCUUCUUUUCCUUAAUAGCGCUGUGCGGACUUGAACAAGUAAAUCCCUCCAGAACUGCUUGAGGCUGGGAAUUUAUGCCGCUCGUAAACAAGGCAAAAUCCUUGCCAGAGAUCCGCCGCGGCCCACCCCCUGCCCGCGUCCAAUGUAAAAGGCAUACCUAACAGCGGCGUGCUCGGAACGCAGCGUGAUGGCUAGGUGCGACAGAGCCCACACCCAGGGAGUGCGUAGAGCUGCAGGCCGGGUGGGGCCCAGCUCGCUGGGGCUCAGGGCCCGCGCGUGCGUGCGAGCGAGCGAGCGAGCGAGUGAGCAACGGACUCCCGGGCCUCGGCGCGUGGUCUGCGCGCGCCCGGCCGUGCGUGCGGCUGCGGGAGGCUGCGUGUGCGCGCGGGGCGGCAGCAUCGGCCGCCCGCCCGCCCGUGUCGGAGCAGGGUUAGCGCCGCGCGCGGGAGUUUUCCUAGGUUCUCUCCAGACCAAGUCAUCUUGUUGCCUCUUUUCACGAGCUCUGUCACGUGGCUCUUUCAGACUGCCCACCCCUGGGUGCAGAGGUACGUCCAUUUUUGCUCUGUUUGGCUCUUUGGGUCAGUACUGUAUUCUCACUGCCCAGCAUGAGCCAAAGAAGUAUAUGUUGAACAAAUGA
ensembl:lncRNA